AGCACGUUCCAUUUGUACCCCUAGCAACACCUUGCAACAGUGUGCCAACACAAAUGGGGCUCUCAAGAAACACUUUGCUAAAGAAAAGGAUUCAGCUUUCCUACAAGUAAAAUUUACAGGCUGGCAAAUUCCAGGCUUGGAAAUUUUCUGUGAAAACUCUCCAGUUCUAGAGAAACAACUAAACACAUCUCACUGCUAAAAGCUGCACUAUCAGAGCUUUAAACAAGCAGGGUUACAAACACAGGAGUCUGCAGACAACAAAGAAGUGGAGAUAAGAGGAUUUCUGCCAUGCAGAGUUUGUACAUCCAUCUGUGAUUAAUAUUAUGAGGAAAAUGAGGGUCAAAGCCUAUCUCUGAAACUGAAUGUAGAGAGUGUAGUCAGAGUUUAUCACAAACACAGUCUUCUCCCCUGAGGAAGAAGUGAAGAAAAACUUUGGUAUGGGGUAUCCAGUGAUUACUGAAUUCUAAAAUACGGCCAGAAAAAUACUGACACUCUAAAUCCAUCCUUUAUGCCCCCCCAGCCAAAUGUGAACUCUUCCUGGAUUAACUGGAGAUGAAGGUCAGGCCAUGUGUCAUUCAAAAGUGUCCAGGCAGGCACCAACACACGAGACCAUCUGGAAGGAAAUGUGAGAACACAGUGUGUAGCCACAGCACAUGGAGCAGUGCCUGCUCCGAGUGUGAACAGCAGAGGUAUGAGCAAGAGGAGAACCAGGGACUCACACAUCUGGAAUAAUAUUCCUAAAACCAUCCACAUCCUGGAUUCCAGCUGCAACUGCAAUGAGACUUCAGAAGCGAAGGUCAUCUCUGAUACCAUCUCAGCAAUAACACAGGAAAGCAGGAAGCACAGCUCUGGGGAAAAGGCUGUCUGACUCCAGUGCCUGCAAACACCAGGCUAAAGAUAAGGUGACCAUUAACCUUCAGAGAAAGGCAGGGAAGGCCCAGAAUGUCCUGCCUGCAGGCUUUGUUUCUCCAAGGGGAAAUAAACAGAAAAAUAAAGCUCAGAACUGCCUACUCUUGACAUUUAACUCAAAUGAGUGUGCAAUGGUAACAUUUUCUCUGUUACCUUUCCUCUCCAUAAAAGCCAUGAAUACAGUACCUGGUUCAUUCCUCAAUCAGCAAAAUAAGUGAAAAUAUUGAGUAGCAAUAAAUUUAUUCCUACUACUCGAUAUCUGUGAGAUCUCAGACCUGUGCCCUCUGUACAGAAUGUAUUAUUCCAUGUUGCAGAUACAGUGGGGAGAACUGAGGACGAGUAAUUCAGUGACUGCUCCAGAAUCCAUAAACUGCAAUUGAACUCAAAAGUUCCUGGUGACUGAAACUGUGUUUUAGAGCCUUUCCCCAUCCUUCCUUGCUCAAUAAGGACAGCCAGAAAGGCCCUACAAGAAUAGGCACACUAUAAAUAUCCAAGAUAACUUACGUUCACUAGCCAGCCUUCAGCCAUGGGAACUCAUACAGGAACACUGGCAUCAAAAUGCUGAGUUAAAUUAGAAAUCAGUGACUGUACAACAUGAUUUGGCCCCACAUGUUGAGAGUUUUAAAAUCAUCACAUAAUAAAAAAUACCUCAA